GUAAUAUGAAGAAAGACAGCUUUGAAGUAAUCUUCAACAAUGUUUUUCUUAGGUUAAGAAGGGAGCUAUGCCCAGGAUUAUGACAAAACUCCCACAGUCGGAUUAAGACCAAAAGGCUCAUAAGUGGGAUUUGCUGCCUGUGUUUUCUCCAAAGUGUUGUCCUAUGGUGACUGCCUUCAUCUCUACAUUGCCGGUGAUGACAAGAAAUUACAGAUCACGGAAGUACAGGCUGUUAAAUGUCAGGAGAGACGGAGAGUUGACAGGACAUGAUCCAGUGUUGCUGGAGUGCAGGAUACGACCAAAGUGAACACAAGUCUCUUCAGUGUUGUUUCGUUCACACUGCAGCUGUCAAGAUGUCCUGGCAAAUCAAGCCAAAAACCCUGUGCACUCAUUAUAAUUGGCCAUUAAAGUAUCAUCACAAGCUCCAAAGACCAAGUCCCCCCAGUUGCUGAUGGAAAGAUGGACACUUUGCCAAUCAAUGUGAGUUUUCUGGGGAACCUCAGAACCUCUCAGCUUCCCUGGAGCUCCUGGAUGAUGAGAACUCGCUCUGCCAUUGCAGUCUAGUCAGGGGCCACUAAUCUGGGCUACACAGCCAGGGAGCAGGCCUUGGAGUGAGUCCAGCUCCUCCACAGACAAAGAGAGGCAUUCUGAAGCAGAGACUUAGUGUGUUUUCUUUAUAAUGUACCAUACGCAGCAACAUCAUGAAUAAUGCACAUGCCAACAAACAGGUGUUGAGUUGUUAUGCGUACAAUGUGCAAAUCGGCAACUGCUCGGUGAUGCACUACAUUUUCUGACUUUAAAU